AACGAACGCUGGCGGCAUGCCUAACACAUGCAAGUCGAACGAGAUCUUCGGGUCUAGUGGCGCACGGGUGCGUAACGCGUGGGAAUCUGCCCUUUGGUUCGGAAUAACAGUUGGAAACGACUGCUAAUACCGGAUGAUGACGAAAGUCCAAAGAUUUAUCGCCAGAGGAUGAGCCCGCGUAGGAUUAGCUAGUUGGUGUGGUAAAGGCGCACCAAGGCGACGAUCCUUAGCUGGUCUGAGAGGAUGAUCAGUCACACUGGGACUGAGACACGGCCCAGACUCCUACGGGAGGCAGCAGUGGGGAAGAUUGGACAAUGGGCGAAGCCUGAUCCAGCAAUGCCGCGUGAGUGAUGAAGGCCUUAGGGUUGUAAAGCUCUUUUACCCGGGAUGAUAAUGACAGUACCGGGAGAAUAAGCUCCGGCUAACUCCGUGCCAGCCGCCGCCGUAA
rnacentral:rRNA from 1 species